UACGGGGGGGAGCAAGCGUUGUUCGGAUUUACUGGGCGUAAAGGGCGCGUAGGCGGUCAGCACAAGUCAGUUGUGAAAUCUCCGGGCUUAACUCGGAAAGGUCAACUGAUACUGUGCGACUAGAGUGCAGAAGGGGCAACUGGAAUCUCGGUGUAGCGGUGAAAUGCGUAGAUAUCGAGAGGAACACCUGCGGCGAAGGCGGGUUGCUGGGCUGACACUGACGCUGAUGCGCGAAAGCCAGGGGAGCGAACGGG
rnacentral:rRNA from 1 species